rnacentral:misc_RNA from 1 species
UGUGGACAUCGUGAUGUGCCU